GACGAACGCUGGCGGCGUGCCUAAUACAUGCAAGUAGAACGCAGUUGCGAACGGGUGACUAACGCGUAGGUAACUGUCUGGUAGCGGGGGAUAACUAUUGGAAACGAUAGAUAAUACCUAAUACUAACAGAUGGACAUGCGUUGUUUUAGCUAGUUGGUGGGGUAACGGCUCACCUAGGCAACGUUACAUAGCCGACCUGAGUGGGUGAUCGGCCACAGUGGGACUUAGACACGGCCCAGACUCCUACGGGAGGCAGCAGUAGGGAAUCUUCGGCAAUGGACGGAAAUCUGACCAAGCAACGCCGCGGGAGUGAAGAAGGUUUUCGGAUCGUAAAGCUCUGUUGUAAGAGAAGCGGUAUCUUACCAGAAAGCGACGGCUAACUACGUGCCAGCAGCCGCGGUAAUUC
rnacentral:rRNA from 1 species